CGGGCUGGUCCUGGUUAGGAAUAGCACCACUUUUGAUAAUUCUCCCCAAACUCCCUAAAAAAUGUGGAUUCAGGUACAUUAACCCUUUGAGUGCCAACCAAUAUCCUAGGGACUAUGCUAAAAUUGCCAAGGCAUUUUUGCUGAUUUUACAGCAGUUUAGGAAAAAAAUUAUGAAUCGCCAGUAAAUGAAGUUACAUAUUCAAAAACUUAAGGAAACCUUUACUACAUUGACAUAUUUAGCAAUAUCAUCAUCACUAAUAAAAGCAGACUUAGAACUGGACGCCAUUUCGAAGCUUUGAUAGCACUCCCGGCACUUUUGGCGAAAGACAUGAGGAGCGUGAUCGAGCUCCCGGGCACUCUAAGGGUUAAAGUGGGUGAAAUAGAAUUUUCCUUCAGUUUUGGUGUGAAAGAAUAUUCCUGCAAGAAUGUUGUGAAGUGAAGGCACAUAAAAGCUAAAUGGAACAUGUUGUUCACAAAUCCAGAGCAUUCUUUACUCAAGUAAUUUCCUUUGCCAGUUGAUGUUUAAAUAGGGAAAAUGGAAAAUUAUUUAUAACUUCAUGUCCUGUACUUCAUUUUUUAUUUUGUUGAAUAAUUUUUGAUUAUUUUUCUCCCUGAAAGUUUGGUCUGAUGAGAAUGACUAUUUUACCUUCAAAAAACCACUAUCUAUAUUGAAUACCCUUUUCCUCAGAACUUUGUAGACUUUGCUCCAUUGACUUCACCACCCAGAAUUAUAAACACACCCACUACAAUUUUGACUCUUUACUCCUUUUUUAAAAAAUAUUUUUUUAUUGACUUCAGAGAGGAAGUGAGAGGGAGAGAGAAAUAGAAACAUCAAUGAUGAGAGAGAUCAUUGAUUGGCUGUUUCCUGCAAGUCCUACACGGGAGAUCAAGCCAGCAAUUCGGGCAUGUGCCCUGACUGGGAAUCGAACCGUGACCUCCUCCUGGUUCAUAGGUUGAUACUCAACCACUGAGCCACACUGGCUGGGCAACUCACUUCUCUGUAGUCAACCUGUUUUCUCUCUUUGAAAGGUUGUAGGAUCCUCUGUCUUUGGACUUAAGAAAUAACAUCAGAUAUAUUCCUGCUUGAUAGUUGAUAAGGGACAGUCUUAGUCUGGUGUCUUCCAAUAAUGGGAAUUUUUUUCCCCACCCCAUUCUCUCCUCUGGAACACCUCACCUGUUAAAUGUAUUGUAACUUUCUUGGAUCUUUCACAUAUUAUUUCAAUUAUUCUUUAACGUUUUCUAUUUUUUUGUUCCUGAAGGCGGCCAUGGCCUAUUUUGCCAAAUCAGCAAUCUGUGUUACAUCUCUCCAAAUUAAAGAUUAGCACCUCCAUGAAUUUUUAUAUUGUGGAGAUCACAUUUUUUUCUCAUAACUGUUUCAUAACAGCCCGUUCUUGUUUUAUGGUUGCAGUAUCUUCUUGAAAACAUUGGUACUAAUUAGAAUUUUUAAAGUCUCUGUUUUUUUGCCUUCAUUUCCUCAGUUGUUAAUUACUGUGUGUUUCUUUUUCUGGUACUUCUCUUUCAUGCUAUUUUUUCCCCUCAUGAUUGAUGAUUUUGGGAUGUUUAUUCAGAAUCAUAAUAAAUGAGAUUGGUCAUUAUUGGUAAACUAGAGGCCUGGUGCACCAAUUCGUGCACAGGUGGGGCACCUUUGGGUGACCUGCAGGGAUUGAGCCAAAACCCAGUCCAAUGCCACCUGCAGCUCCUACCUGCUGCUCCCUACUCAUGCCGCAGUCUCGCACCCAAUCAGUCCCGAUUGGGAAAGGCUCAUGCUGCUGCUGCAGCAGCGUUCGUAACCGUGAGCCCUGCAUCUGGCGCCCUCCCAAGGGGAUCAGGCUGAAACCAGCUCUCUGACAUCCCCCGAGGGGUCCCGGCUUGCAAGAAGGUGCAGGCCAGUCCAAGGGGCCCCACUGGUGUGCGAUCGGGCCUGGGAGGGACCAUGGGAGGGCUCCAGGGAGUGUCCGGCCCAUCUCGCCCAGUCCCGAUCAGCUGGACCCCAGCAGCAAGCUAACCUACCAGUUGGAGCAUCUGCCCCCUGGUGAUCAGUGCAUGUCAUAGCUAGUGGUCAACCAGUCAACUGCCCCCCUGGUGGUCAGUGCAUGUCAUAGCGAAUGGUUGAGCGGCCUUAGCAUAUCAUUAGCAUAUUAUGUUUUGAUUGGUUAAACAGUCAAUUAGUCACCGGAUGACCAGACACUUAGCAUAUUAUGCUUUUAUUAUAUAGGAUUAUAUAGGAUGGUAAGGUUUUUCUAACAGUUGUGAAGGUCUCUGUUAUACCUGCAGGCUAUUCUGCCUGGGAGAGUGGGUGGGUCGUGCUGACAGAAAAAAGCCCUUGAUGGCCAAAGUAGGGGAAAGGCACUUUCCUCGAGCUAUGUAUUUUCUUAAGCUCAGUUAUACCCCCAAACUCUAAUGGGAAGUCUGGUUCUGUUUUCUAUGUUUCCUAUAGGUCUUAGCCUGUGCUUGUUAGGUUGAGCGUUACUCAGCUAGUUUCUCCAUUAAUCCAGUGCCAUGAAUACACCUUUAUGUUCUAGAAAGUCUUCCACUUCUGGUUCCAGUGUCAGUCUCUGCCUUGUCAUUUCAGUGGGUUUUGAGGAUAAACAUUGAGCUCAGUAAACCAUCUUAACACCUUCCGUACCGCUCACGAGCUUUCUCGUGUUUCGCGCGCCAUCUGUUAUGGACCUUAGAUGUCAACACACUGUCUUGUCCACAUCGAAUGAAGCGAUCUCAUUGGUGGAAACUGUGCAGGUCAAUCUACGAAAAACUAUAUAAUUGCACGAACCCAUAAAGCAUUGCAGUUACAUUGUAUUUUGGUCAUUCGAAUAGUCUUCGUCUUCAAGUUCCUGGCGCUUUUAGAAAAUGUUUUAUGCAGUACUAUACGUUAAAAAAGUACUAGGAACUUUAAUUGUUUAAUUCUUUAAUUGUUUUUGUAAAUAAAAAUGUUAAAAUUAUUGAAAAACACCUAAAGUGCAUUAUGAUCUGUAGUUAUGAUGAUUUAAAUAACGU